AGCUUAAAUUUGUAAUUAUAAAAACCUAGAAACCAAAUAUUUAGUUGUAAUUAAGAUGUUAUGAAGGAGUUUUGUAUUUAAGAAACUUAUUUUAAAAAUUCGUGGCACUGUUUUUGUAUCCGCAGAAAUAUAUACAUAUGUAUAUAUGAGGAUAAAUUAAAUUAAAACACAUUUUGUUUGGAAAUAUUUUAGGAAAUUUGAUUGAAUCUCUGAACUGUGAUACUAAGAAUAUUUGAGAGAAGUAGCUCACCAAAAAGAUGCGCAUAUAAACCAACAGAAUCUCAUUAGGAAUUGUGAAAUGAUUGUAAAUAAAAUCGUAGGAUAAUAAUACCCUCAAAGAAACAUUAAUUAUUCUGUGAGGCAUUGGCAGCUUUCAACUACAUAACGGUUUGAAAAAGACACGAAGUCUGAAUUUUUGUAUACUUAGAGAUUAUUUUGUUGAAAUAAACACAUAGCUGAUUUUUAGCAGUAUCAUCCCUGCCACUUUCAAAGAGAACGGUUCUUAUAAAGCAACAGAAAACAACAAAGAAGACGCAUAAAGCGCAUUGGAAAAUCGCAGCG